GAAGGCACUACUCCUUUAUUCCUCUCCUCUUCACAGCCCUUCCUUUUAAUUUGACCACGGCUCUCUCUGGCAAAGCUGUGAUGCUGAUAAAAAAGAAAGAAAACCAAACACAUUUGUAACAACAUAACUGAUGUGUGAGCGUAGACUAUCAGCUUGCCCAGAGGGGUCUGCUCUCACUUGUCAUGGGAUGGAGAGAAAGAGACCCCCAAAGACACCUGUCUGACACCUCUCAUCAGAGUACUAUCUCGGAUCCAGCAGAGGGCCACUGAGGGUCUGAAAUAUCACACCUUUAAGCUACUGUUUGCACUCAGCGCCUGUCAUAUCCACUUUAGAAAACAACAGCCCGGGGGUGUGCGAAAGAGGCAAGCCAUUGUAAUAAAAAAAAAGUGCUGAAAAAAGCUAAAUAUGUUGUAUUAUGGUAUCAUAAUACAUCGUGUCAUCCACAAUGCAAUG